CUAUACAUGCAGUCGAGCGAAUCGAUGGGAGCUUGCUCCCUGAGAUUAGCGGCGGACGGGUGAGUAACACGUGGGCAACCUGCCUAUAAGACUGGGAUAACUUCGGGAAACCGGAGCUAAUACCGGAUACGUUCUUUUCUCGCAUGAGAGAAGAUGGAAAGACGGUUUACGCUGUCACUUAUAGAUGGGCCCGCGGCGCAUUAGCUAGUUGGUGAGGUAAUGGCUCACCAAGGCGACGAUGCGUAGCCGACCUGAGAGGGUGAUCGGCCACACUGGGACUGAGACACGGCCCAGACUCCUACGGGAGGCAGCAGUAGGGAAUCUUCCGCAAUGGACGAAAGUCUGACGGAGCAACGCCGCGUGAACGAAGAAGGCCUUCGGGUCGUAAAGUUCUGUUGUUAGGGAAGAACAAGUACCAGAGUAACUGCUGGUACCUUGACGGUACCUAACCAGAAAGCCACGGCUAACUACGUGCCAGCAGCCGCGGUAAUACGUAGGUGGCAAGCGUUGUCCGGAAUUAUUGGGCGUAAAGCGCGCGCAGGUGGUUCCUUAAGUCUGAUGUGAAAGCCCACGGCUCAACCGUGGAGGGUCAUUGGAAACUGGGGAACUUGAGUGCAGAAGAGGAAAGUGGAAUUCCAAGUGUAGCGGUGAAAUGCGUAGAGAUUUGGAGGAACACCAGUGGCGAAGGCGACUUUCUGGUCUGUAACUGACACUGAGGCGCGAAAGCGUGGGGAGCAAACAGGAUUAGAUACCCUGGUAGUCCACGCCGUAAACGAUGAGUGCUAAGUGUUAGAGGGUUUCCGCCCUUUAGUGCUGCAGCUAACGCAUUAAGCACUCCGCCUGGGGAGUACGGCCGCAAGGCUGAACUCAAAGGAAUUUGACGGGGGGCCCCGCACAAGCGGUGGAGCAUGGUGGUUUUAAUUUCGAAGCAACGCGAAGAACCUUUACCAGGUCUUGACAUCCUCUGACAACCCUAGAGAUAGGGCUUUCCCCUUCGGGGGACAGAGUGACAGGUGGUGCAUGGUUGUCGUCAGCUCGUGUCGUGAGAUGUUGGGUUAAGUCCCGCAACGAGCGCAACCCUUGAUCUUAGUUGCCAGCAUUCAGUUGGGCACUCUAAGGUGACUGCCGGUGACAAACCGGAGGAAGGUGGGGAUGACGUCAAAUCAUCAUGCCCCUUAUGACCUGGGCUACACACGUGCUACAAUGGAUGGUACAAAGGGCUGCAAACCUGCGAAGGUAAGCGAAUCCCAUAAAGCCAUUCUCAGUUCGGAUUGCAGGCUGCAACUCGCCUGCAUGAAGCCGGAAUCGCUAGUAAUCGCGGAUCAGCAUGCCGCGGUGAAUACGUUCCCGGGCCUUGUACACACCGCCCGUCACACCACGAGAGUUUGUAACACCCGAAGUCGGUGAGGUAACCUUCAUGGAGCCAGCCGCCUAAGGUGGGACAGAUGAUUGGGGUGAAGUCGUAACAAGUAGC
rnacentral:rRNA from 2 species